rnacentral:lncRNA from 1 species
GUUGCAGGUACGGUGUUCGACGAUAUUAAAUUAAUAACGUUGGUGAAGUGGUAAGAAACACAUCCUUUUGAAGCUUGUAUUCCAGUAUGACGGGGUGCAGCGCACCAAACUGCACAAAUCGCACGGAAGGUGGCAAAGCUUUUUACGCGGUGCCGCGCGGACGGACGAGACCGGCCAGCUCCGAAAGAGACCAGGAUAUGCGAGGGGCGUUCGCCUUGUUUACAGAGUGGCUUUGAAUUCUGCCCCCAAAGGCUCCAAGAACCAUCACUCAUCCCCUGCUGCCACCAGCCAUUGCUCAUCAAUUCUCUUGUACGAAAUAAAUUUGAUCUAGAAGCUCGUG